AUUGAACGCUGGCGGCAUGCCUUACACAUGCAAGUCGAACGGUAACAGGCCGCAAGGUGCUGACGAGUGGCGAACGGGUGAGUAAUGCAUCGGAACGUGCCCAGUCGUGGGGGAUAACUGCUCGAAAGAGCAGCUAAUACCGCAUACGACCUGAGGGUGAAAGCGGGGGACCGUAAGGCCUCGCGCGAUUGGAGCGGCCGAUGUCAGAUUAGCUAGUUGGUGGGGUAAAGGCCUACCAAGGCAACGAUCUGUAGUUGGUCUGAGAGGACGACCAGCCACACUGGGACUGAGACACGGCCCAGACUCCUACGGGAGGCAGCAGUGGGGAAUUUUGGACAAUGGGCGCAAGCCUGAUCCAGCAAUGCCGCGUGCAGGAAGAAGGCCUUCGGGUUGUAAACUGCUUUUGUCAGGGGAGGAAUCUUCUGGGCUAAUACCCCGGGAGGAUGACGGUACCUGAAGAAUAAGCACCGGCUAACUACGUGCCAGCCGCCGCCGUAAAAC
rnacentral:rRNA from 1 species